rnacentral:rRNA from 1 species
GAUGAACGCUGGCGGCGUGCCUAAUACAUGCAAGUCGAGCGAACAGACGAGGAGCUUGCUCCUCUGACGUUAGCGGCGGACGGGUGAGUAACACGUGGAUAACCUACCUAUAAGACUGGGAUAACUUCGGGAAACCGGAGCUAAUACCGGAUAAUAUAUUGAACCGCAUGGUUCAAUAGUGAAAGACGGUUUUGCUGUCACUUAUAGAUGGAUCCGCGCCGCAUUAGCUAGUUGGUAAGGUAACGGCUUACCAAGGCGACGAUGCGUAGCCGACCUGAGAGGGGGGUCGCCCACCUGAGAAGGGAGACGGGGCCCACGCCCCUGGGGGAGGCGCCAGACGGGAUCCUGCCGAAAUGGGGGAAAGCCUGGCGGACCAGCCCGGAGUGAGUAAGAAAGGUCUUGGGUGCGAAAAACCGUUUUAUGGGGAAAAAAAAAAUUUGAAAGAACAUGUACCCGUUUUGACGGUACCUAAUAAAAAAGCCCCGGCUAACUACGUG